AUCGGAAUCUACUCUGUCGUGGGGGAUAACGUAGGGAAACUUACGCUAAUACCGCAUACGACCUACGGGUGAAAGCAGGGGAUCUUCGGACCUUGCGCGAUUGAAUGAGCCGAUGUCGGAUUAGCUAGUUGGCGGGGUAAAGGCCCACCAAGGCGACGAUCCGUAGCUGGUCUGAGAGGAUGAUCAGCCACACUGGAACUGAGACACGGUCCAGACUCCUACGGGAGGCAGCAGUGGGGAAUAUUGGACAAUGGGCGCAAGCCUGAUCCAGCCAUACCGCGUGGGUGAAGAAGGCCUUCGGGUUGUAAAGCCCUUUUGUUGGGAAAGAAAUCCAGCCGGCUAAUACCCGGUUGGGAUGACGGUACCCAAAGAAUAAGCACCGGCUAACUUCGUGCCAGCAGCCGCGGUAAUACGAAGGGUGCAAGCGUUACUC
rnacentral:rRNA from 3 species